rfam:Myotis davidii contig147453, whole genome shotgun sequence.
GACAGUUCUUCGGUGAUGAACCCUGGAAUUGGGCUACCUCCUCUCUGGUUCUGGGUGCGUCACCCAAGAACUGCA